rnacentral:lncRNA from 1 species
UGCUGUUUAAAAUGAAUGGAUCUCUAUUUCAAGAUGGCAUGUCUAGUACACUUACGUGCACCGCCUCACAAGCACACUGAAAUGACAGAAAAGAUUAUAAGCCAGAAGCAAACAAAGGCAGGCAAGGAAAUUUGAGGUUGUUGCAUCUGGAAGUAAACAUGUAGCUACUUCUUCUAAUAAAACAGAGGGACACAUUUUGAUUACCUGAAAAAUUCAGUUCUAUCUUUUGAUUUGGUCUGGACACCUGGAGGUCAGCAACCGAGAGCAGGAAGGAGGCACAGCAACAACAGAACAACAACAAGAGGCUGCGACAGGGGCGGCGUGGGUCAAAAGGAAGCAACCUGGAGGACGGUCCUCCUUGCGGCUUGGAGCAGAGCUUCAGGUUGGGCACCACGACAGAGCUGGGCCAGAAGUCUAACACAGCCUGUUUGGAACACAACCCGGGAUACUUGUGUGGUUGGGUUCAGUCAGUCAAGGGAAACAAGAAGCUAACCCGUGGCUGGGAGUGUUCAUGCAAUGCUCGUGGAAUACUCAGCGCAAAGCCUGCCCGCAAGCACAAAGGGUAUCAAGGAAGAGUUAAAUGGGAAGUUGGGUCAUGGUGUGGAAUCAUAUUAAGCUCUUAGGUGCUCUGACCCUGGAGGAGAGGGAUUUCACUGAGAUGAGAAGGAUGCGUGAUGGGAUCCAUGGGCACUGGAGGCUUAUAUUUCCCUCUCAUGCCAUGCUCAAGUGAUGGGAGGGCAGAGGCAUGAGAGGGUGCUAAGGGACUAAACGCCAUGGCCACAGGAGCUCUGGCCAAGGCCCCAGGAGUCAAGAAGUGCACAGAGGGCAUGGAUGCGUUGGAAAGGGGAGGUGCUGGCCUUUUAAAGAUCAUAUGGCUUGGACAAGGAACAUGCAUGAGAGAAGUACUGGACUUUUCAUUUCCUGCCCUGGGCCUUGCCAGUGGAGGAGCACUGAGAUCUGCUAUAAUCAACACUCUUAUUGGAAGCAUUACUGUUCCGUGAAAAAUCGCCUGUGCCUGGGCUUCUCUUGC